UGGGGAAUAUUGCACAAUGGGGGAAACCCUGAUGCAGCGACGCCGCGUGAAGGAAGAAGGUCUUCGGAUUGUAAACUUCUGUCGACAGGGAAGAGAAAGGACAGUACCUGUGGAGGAAGCCACGGCUAACUACGUGCCAGCAGCCGCGGUAAUACGUAGGUGGCGAGCGUUGUCCGGAAUUACUGGGUGUAAAGGGCGCGUAGGCGGGUAAAUAAGUUGGAUGUGAAAACCCAAGGCUCAACUUUGGGAAUGCAACCAAAACUGUUUAUCUUGAGUGCAGGAGAGGUAAGUGGAAUUCCUAGUGUAGCAGUGAAAUGCGCAGAUAUUAGGAGGAACACCAGUGGCGAAGGCGACUUACUGGACUGCAACUGACGCUGAGGCGCGAAAGUGUGGGUAGCAAACA
rnacentral:rRNA from 1 species